UCCUUAUAUUUAAUUUUUUUCAACGUUCUCCUUUGAAAAUGUAUCCUUAAAAUCAUCUCUUUGCUCUCUUAGUAUCAAGGAGUGAUCUUGCAAAUAAAAAAUGAUUAAAAUAUGAGCAUCAAAUAAAAAAUGGUGACAGCUAGACAAUAAAGUCAACACGAUGGUUGGUGUAGUAAGAAAGGCUGGGACUGGUGGCACCUUAGUCCAUGCACCAAAUAUAGAACAACACUGAGUCAUGGCAACACAAAAAUAAGAGCAGAGUUAGAACCUAGAGUGAAAAUCACCUUUCCAUAUGGUUCAAUUCCCAUAGAACUGUGAGAGCUACACCCAUCAUCCUGAAUAAUAUAAGUUCUGUAUGCUCAUAUAUUUAUGGAUUCAGCAAUACGACAAUACCAUACACACAUGUUCAGAAAAUUAAAAUGAUGGCAAUGCAAUUGAUUCUGUUACUUUGAUAGUUUAGAAACAACAGUCGGCACGUUACACAAGAAUGUCCCCAUGUCCCAGCUGCCCCUUAUGCUAGAAAUAACAAAAGUUAAGCAUCAACUCAUACCUCAUUUUGACCCCAUGAGAAACAACGGUUGUUAGAACUGAAAACAAGACAGUGGCAAGCCCCUGGACAAAAUACAGGAAUCCAUUAGAAAAUUCGAUAUGACCAUAAAUCAAUUUUACUACUUGACGACAUUCAAGAAACGCCAUGACAACUUAGUAAUAUAGGCAUUUCCGCACACAGACUGGGCAACUUCCNGCACAACCUUGUGAGGAACAAUCAGAACUUGCAUGAUGGCACAAAAUCAAUAAAGUCAACAAAUUAUACCCUCAUUCUUCUAUCGAGAGAAAGUCUUAAACUGAGAUCAUCCAACUUUUCCACAAGCUUAUUCUUCAUCUCCUAUAGUACACCACUUCCAUUUGCACUCAAGAAGCAAUAAAGUACUUGUAGCAUAGCAAUACUUCUGAUGCAGCAUGAAAAUUGAUUUUUUUUCUUCUGAAACAAGACAUAUAUCAGUAACAUUGCCAUCUCUCUCAACCUUCUUUCUUCAGGAGCUCACUAACUAGGUGGUAAGCGGGCUACCAUGCAAAGAUUCUAGGUGCAAAAACAAAGUAACAACAUUUAGUGAUUCAGUCAUAUUCCUAGUAGCAUAUGCAUUACUUUCUGUCAGAAACAAUGCACUAAUCUUAUCAAUGCCGCUGUACCAUUCCAUCAUGGUUGCAAGCUCCUUAUAUUUUUUUCAACGUUCUCCUUUGAAAAUGUAUCCUUAAAAUCAUCUCUUUGCUCUCUUAGUAUCAAGGAGUGAUCUUGCAAAUAAAAAAUGAUUAAAAUAUGAGCAUCAAAUAAAAAAUGGUGACAGCUAGACAAUAAAGUCAACACGAUGGUUGGUAUAGUAAGAAUGGCAGGGACUGGUGGCACCUUAGUCCAUGCACCAAAUAUAGAACAACACCGAGUCAUGGCAACACAAAAAUAAGAGCAGAGUUAGAACCUAGAGUGAAAAUCAGCUUUCCAUAUGGUUCAAUUCCCAUAGAACUGUGAGAGCUACACCCAUCAUCCUGAAUAAUAUAAGUUCUGUAUGCUCAUAUAUUUAUGGAUUCAGCAAUACGACAAUACCAUAUACACACCUGUUCAGAAAAUUAAAAUGAUGGCAAUGCAAUUGAUUCUGUUACUUUGAUAGUUUAGAAACAACAGUCGGCACGUUACACAAGAAUGUCCCCAUGUCCCAGCUGCCCCUUAUGCUAGAAAUAACAAAAGUUAAGCAUCAACUCAUACCUCAUUUUGACCCCAUGAGAAACAACGGUUGUUAGAACUGAAAACAAGACAAUGGCAAGCCCCUGACAAAAUACAGGACUUCAUUAGAAAAUUCGAUAUGACCAUAAAUCAAUUUUACUACUUGACGACAUUCAAGAAACGCGAUGACAACUUUGUAAUACAAGCAUUUCCGCACACAGACUGGGCAACUUCCCAUACAGUGGAGUAAAGUCAGGAACUCACGGAGGAGGAAAGUAAGGAACUCACGGCAAUGGGAGGCGCCGAAACGGAUGUCCUCGCCCACGAGAGGGCACAACCUUGUUGGGGAACAAUCAGAACUUGCAUGAUGGCACAAAAUCAAUAAAGUCAACAAAUUAUACCCUCAUUCUUCUAUCGAGAGAAAGUCUUAAACUGAGAUCAUCCAACUUUUCCACAAGCUUAUUCUUCAUCUCCUAUAAUACACCACUUCCAUUUGCACUCAAGAAGCAAUAAAGUACUUCUAGCAUAGCAAUACUUCUGAUGCAACAUGAAAAUUGAUUUUUUCUUCAGAAACAAGACAUAUAUCAGUAACAUUGCCAUCUCUCUCAACAUUCUUUCUUCAGGAGCUCACUAAUUGGGUGGUAAGCGGGCUACCAUGCAAAGAUUCUAGGUGCAAAAACAAAGUAACAACAUUUAGUGAUUCAGUCAUAUUCCUAGUAGCAUAUGCAUUACUUUCUGUCAGAAACAAUGCACUAACCUUAUCAAUGCCGCUGUACCAUUCCAUCAUGGUUGCAAGCUUCUUAUAUUUUUUUUUAAUGUUCUCCUUUGAAAAUGUAUCCUUAAAAUCAUCUCUUUGCUCUCUUAGUAUCAAGGAGUGAUCUUGCAAAUAAAAAAUGAUUAAAAUAUGAGCAUCAAAUAAAAAAUGGUGACAGCUAGACAAUAAAGUCAACACGAUGGUUGGUAUAGUAAGAAAGGCAGGGACGGGUGGCACCUUAGUCCAUGCACCAAAUUAGAACAACACUGAGUCAUGGCAACACAAAAAUAAGAGCAGAGUUAGAACCUAGAGUGAAAAUCAGCUUUCCAUAUGGUUCAAUUCCCAUAGAACUGUGAGAGCCACACCCAUCAUCCUGAAUAAUAUAAGUUCUGUAUGCUCAUAUAUUUAUGGAUUCAGCAAUACGACAAUACCAUACACACCUGUUCAGAAAAUUAAAAUGAUGGCAAUGCAAUUGAUUCUGUUACUUUGAUAGUUUAGAAACAAUAGUCAGCACGUUACACAAGAAUGUCCCCAUGUCCCAGCUGCCCCUUAUGCUAGAAAUAACAAAAGUUAAGCAUCGACUCAUACCUCAUUUUGACCCCAUGAGAAACAACGGUUGUUAGAACUGAAAACAAGACAGUGGCAAGCCCCUGGCAAAAUACAGGAAUCCAUUAGAAAAUUCGAUAUGACCAUAAAUCAAUUUUACUACUUGACGACAUUCAAGAAACGCCAUGACAACUUAGUAAUAUAGGCAUUUCCGCACACAGACUGGGCAACUUCCCAUACAGUGGAGUAAAGUCAGGAACUCGCGGAGGAGGAAAGUAAGGAACUCACGGCAGUGGGAGGCGCCGAAACGGAUGUCCUCGCCCACGAGAGGGCACAACCUUGUUGGGGAUAUGUGUUGUGCCCACUUCCAGUUUUGUUCAUGUAUCC
rnacentral:lncRNA from 1 species